ACAGCCACAUCAUAUUGAAACACCAGUUCCUGUACGAUCACCAAAGUUAAGCAACACUGAGUCAGGUUGGUAUGUAGAUGGGUGAUCGCUUGCGAAUACAAGAUGCUGUAAG